rnacentral:rRNA from 1 species
GAUGAACGCUGGCGGCGUGCCUAAUACAUGCAAGUCGAGCGAAUGGAUUAAGAGCUUGCUCUUAUGAAGUUAGCGGCGGACGGGUGAGUAACACGUGGGUAACCUGCCCAUAAGACUGGGAUAACUCCGGGAAACCGGGGCUAAUACCGGAUAACAUUUUGAACCGCAUGGUUCGAAAUUGAAAGGCGGCUUCGGCUGUCACUUAUGGAUGGACCCGCGUCGCAUUAGCUAGUUGGUGAGGUAACGGCUCACCAAGGCAACGAUGCGUAGCCGAACUGAGAGGGUGGUCGGCCACACUGGGGAUGAGACACGGCCCAGACUCCUACGGGAGGCAGCAGUAGGGAAUCUUCCGCAAUGGACGAAAGUCUGACGGAGCAACGCCGCGUGAGUGAUGAAGGCUUUCGGGUCGUAAAACUCUGUUGUUAGGGAAGAACAAGUGCUAGUUGAAUAAGCUGGCACCUUGACGGUACCUAACCAGAAAGCCACGGCUAACUACGUGCCAGCCGCCGCUGUAA